GCUGGGUGUGGUGGUGCACACCUGUAGUCCCAGCUACUCAGGAGGCUGAGGCAGGAGGAUCUCUUGAGCCUAGGAGGUCGAGGAUGCAGUGAGCUGUGUUUGCACCACUGUACUCCAGCCUGAGCAAGAAAGAAAGAUCCCAUCUCUU
rfam:Pan troglodytes isolate Yerkes chimp pedigree #C0471 (Clint) chromosome 9, whole genome shotgun sequence.